UAUGUGGAGUAGUAACUUAAAUGUA
rnacentral:piRNA from 1 species